AAACACCGGCAGGGGAGAUACCAUGAUCACAAAGGUGGUUUUCCCAGGGCAAGGCUUAUCCAUUGCACUCCGGAUGUGCUGACCCCCUGCGAUUUCCCCAAAUGUGGGAAAGUGGACUGCAUAAUUUGUGGUAGUGGGGGACUACGUUCAUGCUCUCCCCUG
rnacentral:snRNA from 1 species